UGGGAGCAGUGGAAAAGCGUAUGGAAGAGUCCACCCUCCCUCAGAAGCUCCUGCUCUACACCGCACCUCCCUGCUGCUUCCAUGCACACCACCAUGCCACCUGUCUGCCCCCCAGCCCCCCAGCCUCACAGCCACUGCCGCCCGCCGCCCUCCGAGGCUUCUGCCUUUUCUGACCAACUUCAGGAUCCACCUGGCUCGGUCUCAGGAACCUCAGUCCCCAGUGUUCAAAGAGCGCUCAGGGCUCAGGGAGAUGCAUCAACAUUCAUAAAGGGCUUAGAACUGUG